rnacentral:lncRNA from 1 species
CAAAGCAUAAAUUGGAGAAAACCCUCCCACAUAAUUCCCCCACCUCAAACUUGUAUCUCAAAUAGACCGUUUCAAAAUGCUUGCCAUUUCCUCACAUUAAUAUUCUUAAUGACCAGUAUAUGCCAACACCAUUCCAACACAGAAAAGCUGCUUUUUAACAUACUUAAUGUGAAAAAAUUGGAAGGAUACUAUUUCACUCAUAUUGUAAUGAAUUAUAGGUCAUAUUUCAUAGAAAUCUGGAAACACAGUACAGUUACUUUAAAGAUAAGCUUGAUUAUGAAUAGAUUCACAAACGUUGUUGUCUAUAUCAAUUCAUAUUUAUAAGUGUGUGAUUGCUUUGUGGUUCCAGGGAAUCAAAUUACUGGACACAUUAUUUUGUAAUCUCUACAGAAUAUGCUGUCAUGAAGUGGUGUGACUGACCAUUCACCAAGUACCUGUAUGGUAUGUGUGGUUUCUUUAAGUAAACUUUUCAGAUAUUAUGGUUUCUCUUCUUGUUGCCUUUACAUUCAAUGUCUUUCAUAAACCACGUUUACAUCCAACCAUUUCAUGCGGAUGAAUAACCUGACACAGGAAACAAUUCACCACUGAGCUGAUGGAAACUUGAAAUGCAGAAAAUUUGUUCGUUUGACAAGGUGGGAUCAUUUUAUCGGAAAUGCCUUUAUGAACAAAUAUUGAUAUUAUUGAGUACCACAGUAUGAGUCAUAAUACCAAUAAAACUUAGCGGUAAAACCCGUUAAUGGUUCCAAACGUUUUUUCCCCCAUUCACUUUACCGUCAGGGAUUUUAGAACUACUUCAUAUAAGGUUUGACUUUCGUGUAGGUUUACCCCAGCUUGAUGUUUUGAUAACCGCGCAAAUCUCUCUCGGACAAGGUACAGGUAGGGAUGACUGGGGCCUUCAGGAGGUAAGACACAUGGGUGCACUCAGGAUCCCAGACCCUGUGACUUAAAGCCCUGACCACUGCACAUCCUUCCCUGUAGCCAUUUUUAAUGCCUUGAUGUCCUUAUUGUUAUCUGUGCCCCACUUUACAGACAACACUCCAUCCAAUGACUGUAAACACCUUGAAAUGCAUUCGUUCUAAGAAAUGUGCUAUAUAAAUAAAGUUUUAUUUGAUUGAUGACAUUACAGCUAUAGAAUAUUUAAUAAACUGUCAUUUU